GCCUUGGUGGAUCAAUGGGAAGAUCAUCCCUUCUCCAUGGACUGUGUGCUACAUUGCGUACCUAUGGGAAGACGGAGGUUCGAAUCCUUCUCAAGGCA